rnacentral:tRNA from 1 species
CUCGUCGUAGCUCAGUGGAAGAGCGCCCGGCUCUGGCCCGGGUGGACGCCGGUUCGAGCCCGGCCGACCAGAC